rnacentral:rRNA from 1 species
AGUGAACGCUGGCGGUAGGCCUAACACAUGCAAGUCGAACGGCAGCACAGUAAGCGCUUGCUCUUACGGGUGGCGAGUGGCGGACGGGUGAGGAAUACAUCGGAAUCUACUUUUUCGUGGGGGAUAACGUAGGGAAACUUACACUAAUACCGCAUACGACCUACGGGAGAAAGCAGGGGAUCUUCGGACCUUGCGCGAUUGAAUGAGCCGAUGUCGGAUUAGCUAGUUGGCGGGGUAAAGGCCCACCAAGGCGACGAUCCGUAGCUGGUCUGAGAGGAUGAUCAGCCACACUGGAACUGAGACACGGUCCAGACUCCUACGGGAGGCAGCAGUGGGGAAUAUUGGGCAAUGGGCGAAAGCCUGAUCCAGCCAUACCGCGUGGGUGAAGAAGGCCUUCGGGUUGUAAAGCCCUUUUGUUGGGAAAGAAAAGCAGCAGGUUAAUACCCCGAUGUUCUGACGGUACCCAAAGAAUAAGCAACGGCUAACUUCGUG